CCCAAGUAUUUAUGCAGGAGGAUUCAUAAGUAUUACUUCUGCUAAUAUUUAAGAGCAAGAUUGAAUAUAAGUGCUAUUUAAUGUGAAAUAUACUAUUAAUCCUCUAACCAAUUAAAGCUAUACUAUGCUUUUAUACUAUGACUUACCAAGAACUCUUGAAGAGUUUGGACUGUGAUGAAGACUACAGUUAUUGGCCCAACGUUCUGCACUUGAAGCAGCUUCAGGAUA